UGGUUCUGGAGCUCCCAGAGUGAUCCCAGAGCUCCCAGAGUGAUCCCAGAGGCUCCAGAGGUGUCCUUGGAGCGAUCCCAGAGCUCCCAGAGCAAUUCCAGAGGCUCCAGAGGUGUCCUUGGGGUGAUCCCAGAGCUCCUGGAGUGAUUCCAGAAGCUCCAGAGGUGUCCUUGGAAUGGUUCUGGAGCUCCCGGAGUGAUCCCAGAGCUCCCACAGCGAUUCCAGAAGCUCCAGAGGUGUCCUUGGAGCGAUCUCAGAGCUCCCGGAGUG